GCUCACGUGAUGACUUGUUUUCUUUUGUCGGAUACCCCUUCACUCUGCACUGAGUGAUACCUCUGGUCUGACUAAGC